GAGCAAAAGAGAAAGAGAGAGUCGGUGGAGAGAGUAAGAGAAAUCCUAGGUCUAGAAAUUUCACUUCCUCCGUAUACAGCAGUCACUGGCGUUGAGGUUCCGUCCGCCGUUGCUAGUGGAUUGAGGUGUGCGUAAGUGGCUUCCUUCUUCCUUGCCGUGACGCCGUCUGAUGUGUAUGCGGGCUCGAGCUGCAACUCGCCUUCUCCUCUGUUCUGGGUGUUAUAAAAGAGCACGCUAAACCUUCUCCUUCUUCCUCCUUGAAUCGUUGCUGCUUCUCUUCAGUUUUAGCUGUUAUUAUCGUCGGUGCAUGUGUGAGUAUUUAGAUCUUCCUUCUCUUUAUUAUCACCAGUGAUUAUUGUUGGAAAGAGUUGGAGACUUGUGCUGCACCGAUUGCUCCGGCUAUCUUUCGUGCUCUUUGUCUCUGUUUUUUUUUCCUCUUCGUUUUCUGUUUUGGUUCUAUCUGUGGCGUCAUCUUCGAGUAACAGCUGGGAUGAGAAACCAAGUUGCCAGAGCUGCGGCAGUGCUGUUAUGAAUAUGGAUUAUUGUUGCUGAUUCAUUUCCUGUGUUUCCUUGCGAGUAGUGCUCAGUUUUCUGCGUCCCUGUUCUGCUGCAAUCUUCAUUUUCUUCUUCUUUCUCCUUUGUUGUCCGCUGCCAUCUGGGUUGAGAAGGGUGUGCAGAAGAAAGGGAACCUGACCAAAAUUGAAAGAAAGGAUAUCUUUAAAAAUUUUGAAGCUCCGACGAAUUGGUUAGCUGACGCCGAUUCUACCAGCAACCUCAAAAGGGCAACUAGCUACAGUGGGUGGAUAUUUUGAUUGGUAUUAUUGUCUUUAUGUAAAUAUAUAAUUUGUAUGUCCUUUUGAUUUGAGAGAAGAAUAGAUGCUCCACAUAGGUUGUUGAUAAACUUUAUUUUUGAUCUGUAUAUGGGUUGUUGGCUGGAAGGAGCUACGCUCCUGAUUUAUACUGUUAUCUGUCAGAAUUUUGUUGUAGAAUUUUCGGGAGAUCCUAGUUACAGGGGAGGUUCUGCCGAAA